CUCUUUCCAUUCUCUUGAGGAAGGCUUGCAGUGCUAUAAAUUUCCCUCUUAGGAUUGCCUUUGCAGUAUCCCAGAGGUUCUGAUAAUUUGUGUCUUCAUUAUCAUUUUGUUCCAAAAAUUUGGUAAUUUCCUCCUUAAUCUCAUCUCUGACCCAGCUAUCAUUCAGCAUAAGGAAUAUAGAUGACCAUGUCCCCACCCUGAGUCUAUAUUUAUCUUUUAAGAAUCUGUUUGCACGUCUGGAAAGUUCUCCAUCAUAAUCUCAUGAAGAAGGACCUCUGUGCCUUGCAAAGCAACUUCGUUGCCUUCAAGGAUUCCUAUAAG